CGUGGGUAACCUGCCUCAUACAGGGGGAUAGCAGCUGGAAACGGCUGAUAAAACCGCAUAAGCGCACAGCAUCGCAUGAUGCAGUGUGAAAAACUCCGGUGGUAUGAGAUGGACCCGCGUCUGAUUAGCUAGUUGGUGAGGUAACGGCCCACCAAGCCGACGAUCAGUAGCCGACCUGAGAGGGUGACCGGCCACAUUGGGACUGAGACACGGCCCAG
rnacentral:rRNA from 1 species